CCUACGGGGGGCUGCAGUGAGGAAUAUUGCGCAAUGGGCGAAAGCCUGACGCCGCGACACCGCGUGAGGGAAGAAGCUUUUCGGAGUGUAAACCUCUUUUUUGUGGGACGAUUAUGACGGUACCAUAAGAAUAAGCCACGGCAAACUUCGUGCCAGCAGCCGCGGUAAUACGAGGGUGGCAAGCGUUAUCCGGAUUUAUUGGGCGUAAAGAGCGCGUAGGCGGUUUUAUAAGUCUCGGCUUAAAUCCUAUUGCCCAACAAUAGGACCUGUCAGGAUACUGUAAAACUAGUGGAUAGCAGGGGUAAGCGGAAUUCCCGGUGUAGGAGUAAAAUCCAUUGAUAUCGGGAGGAACACCAAUGGCGAAGGCAGCUUACUAGGCUAUUUUCAGACGCUAAGGCGCGAAAGCGUGGGGAGCGAACGGGCUUAGAUACCCCAGUAGUC
rnacentral:rRNA from 1 species